CUUGGCGACAAUAGCGCUUUGGACCCACCUGAUUCCAUGCCGAACUCAGAAGUGAAACAAAGUAGCGCCGAUGGUAGUGUGGGGCUUCCCCAUGUGAGAGUAGGACAUCGCCAGGU
rnacentral:rRNA from 1 species